ACAUGCAAGUCGAACGAAAUAUUUAGCACUUGUGUUAAAUAAUUUAGUGGCGAACGGGUGAGUAACACGUAAGAACUUACCCCUAGACGAGGUACAACAGUUGGAAACGACUGCUAAUACCUCAUAUUACCGGAAGGUGAAAGAAGCAAUUCGUCUAGGGCGAGGCUUGCGUCUGAUUAGCUUGUUGGUGAGGUAAAGGCUUACCAAGGCGACGAUCAGUAGUUGGUCUUAGAGGAUGAUCAGCCACAUUGGGACUGAGACACGGCCCAAACUUUUACGGGAGGCAGCAGUAAGGAAUUUUCCGCAAUGGGCGCAAGCCUGACGGAGCAAUACCGCGUGAAGGAUGACGGCCCAUGGGUUGUAAACUUCUUUUCUUGGAGAAGAAUUCUGACGGUAUCCAAGGAAUAAGCAUCGGCUAACUCCGUGCCAGCAGCCGCGGUAAGACGGGGGAUGCAAGCGUUAUUCGGAAUUAUUGGGCGUAAAGCGUCUGUAGGUGGUAAGGAAAGUGUAAUGUUAAAGAUCAGGGCUCAACCCUGGGAAAGCAUUGCAAACUAUCUUACUUGAGUUCGGUAGGGGCAGAGAGAAUUCCCAGUGUAGCGGUGAAAUGCGUAGAUAUUGGGAGGAAGACCGGUGGCGAAGGCGUUCUGCUGGGCCGUAACUGACACUCAGAGACGAAAGCUAAGGUAGCAAAUAGGAUUAGAUACCCUAGUAGUCUUAGCUGUAAACGAUGCACACUAUGUUUUGCAAUUUGCAGAGCAAUAGCUAACGCGUUAAGUGUGCCGCCUGGGGAGUACAUUCGCAAGGAUGAAACUCAAAGGAAUUGACGGGGACCCGCACAAGCGGUGGAGCAUGUGGUUUAAUUCGAUGCAACGCGAAGAACCUUACCAAGAAUUGACAUGCUGCGAACGUUUACGAAGUAAAAGUCUAUUACCUAAGUUAAUAGCGCAGACACAGGUGGUGCAUGGUUGUCGUCAGCUCGUGCCGUGAGGUGUUAGUAAGUCCUGCACGAGCGCAACCCUUGCUUUAGUAUAUUCUAGAGAGACUGCCGGUGAUAACCGAAGAAGGUGGAGGAUGACGUCAAAUCAGCAUGCCCCUUAC
rnacentral:rRNA from 1 species